rnacentral:lncRNA from 13 species
UAUCAUCUUUAGGUUUCACAUUCUGGAACAGCCAGAACUUUAAGACAAGAUCUUUUUUUGUUUUGAUAAACAAAAGUGCAUUCCAUUAUGUCCUUGGCCACCAUAGUAAUAUUUCUCUGUCAUUACUGUUCUCAGUAUAGCCUCAAAAUUCUUAUUAGUGAUAACUUUAUCAAAGUCACUGUCAGUCUAUUUGUGUUGCUAUGAAGGAAUACCUGAGGCUGGGCAAUUUAUUAAGAAAAGAGUUUUGUUUAUUUGGCUCAUAGUUCUGCAGGCUGUACAGGAAGCAUGAUGCCAGCAUCUGCUUUGCUUCUGGAAAGAGGACUUCUAUGCAGGACUACAUUACCCAAAUUCCCUUGCCAGCUUCAGUUUGGGGCCAGCCAAUGGGAGGAAGUGCCAGGGAACCAGUAGGCGGGAGAAGAAAGACUACAGAACUUCCUUCCUGCCCCCUCCGACUUCUGCCUCCCUCACUGGCAGCAACCCAACCCCUCCAUUGCUGACCUCUGCCCACCUCUACCAGUGGUCCUUCCUCUGCUGCAGCAGUGACACUAUUUUCUUCCUUUGUUCUUCCAACCCCAGUUAUAGGGUUGGUGCCUCAGGAAAUAACUGCUUUGGGAGAGAAGGACCAGGGGAAGAAGAGAGUGGCCUGCCUGCCUUCUGCUGUUUUCUCAAAUGGCAAGGUGCCAUACACAGGAGUAGCAUGUCCUGAAUUCCAUCAUUAACUAUGGAGUCUCACCCUGUUGCCCAGGAUGGAGUGCAAUGGCACAAUCUCAGCUCACUGCAACCUCCACCUCCUAGGUUGAAGCGAUUCUCCUGCCUGAGCCUCCAAAGUAGCUGGGAUUACAGGUGUGUCCCACCACAUUCGGCUAAUUUUUUGUAUUGUUAGUAGAGAAGGAGUUGUACCAUGUUGGCCAGGCUCGUCUCAAACUCCUGACCUGCCCACGUUGGCCUCCAAAAGUGCUGGUAUUACAGGCAUGGGCCACCAUGCCCAGCCAAGAAUUUCUUAUUUAUAAAUAUACUUUCCACUGAAAAAUCAAUGUGCACUAAUUUUUUUUUCAGAUACUAUGGUUCACCAUAACUUUUAGCGUUUUCUGUGCCAUUUCUUAGACCUAAGCUUCCUAUUAUUGUCUACUAAAUAAAUUGUGCCUUCUGUUUACUCUUCUUCA